ACUGACUCAAGAUACUCAUGAACGUGGAAAACUCCUAAAUGUGUCAUUCUGAGUUCCUGAGAAGUUGAACAUACACAGAUGACAAAAAAGAAUGCCAUUUAGCCAUAACUACCCUUUCUAGAUUACCAAGUAUUUGUAGGUUUAUUGGCAAGAUAGCUUAAAUUACGUAUGUAUUUCUGGCCUGCAACAUCAUGUAAUAGAAGAGUUGCAGAAUUCUUUGCAGUUAAG
rnacentral:lncRNA from 1 species